rnacentral:lncRNA from 1 species
AGCUGAAUAUGUACAAGAGGUGGCACAGCCCUGUGUUUGUGACUGGACCAGUAUCACACUCUUUGCCUGCUACAGCACUAGCCCCAUACCAGCUCUUCCAGCUCCAGCUGCCAUACAUUAAACAUAUGUCAGGGAUCUCACUGGACCCACAAUCCUCUCAAAGCCCCACUGCCAGCAAAUCAAAAGCACCGUUCUACCAGGUACUUCAGAGUGGAAAGGAAGGACAGCGAUGUUAAGCCUGUGGGAAUUGAAUGCAAGUAAAAUUCCCUCUCAGAGAACUGCACUGCCACAUUUUCAGACCACGGAAUGCCAACAAGCUGUUUUCCCCUCUGAAUAAGCCGGGCCUAUGAAGAAAAUGUGAAAAUAGGAGAACCAUGAGCAAUAUUUACAAUAAUGAUAUAUCCAACUCAGGAAAUUGCUACAACUGCCUUUAUCAAAAUAAACAAACCCCGUAUUUUUUUCCUCCCGUAAGAGAAAAGCAAAAUCCUCCACUAUUAAAAUUAAUUUGGCUUGGUAUCUGUUUGGUAUUUGGAUCCGACCGCCUUAUUCCCCAUUUUUGGCCUCAUUUGGACAAAAAAAAAAAGAAAAAAAAAAGAAAAACACAAACCCACAACAAACAGAGGCCCAAACCGACACACACACACACACACACACACACACACACACACACAGCCCCAGCUGCCUCGCUCUGUCUCACAGGAGCACACACGCAGCCCCGCUCCAAGCUGACUCUGGCCACGGGGCACGGUGAGGCACGAAACCACCGCCCCGGGGCACCAGCUUGGUGUGGGAGUGUUGGAUCACUGCCUGCUCGGCACCGCACAACUGCACACCCAGAGCCGGGCGGUUCCAGGGGCACCGGCCCUGCGGAUCACCCCAUCCCGGGGCUUGGGCUUGCUGGGUGCCAGCCCCAGCAUCGCACGCUGGUUCCAAGUUUACUGAAGCAUGCUGCAGCCUUUGCUGCUGUGCCCAGUUUGCAGAUGGACUUUGUGCCAUCAAAAGGGAGAAGGUUUUUUUGGUUUUUUGUUUUGAUUUGUUUUGUUUUGUUUUAGAAUAUGCCAUUUCAAAGUAAAUUGAUUUCUUCUACUGAAAAAGUUUUUAGGAUUAAAGAGCCCUCGCUGCAUACAGAAAAACAUUUCUCCUAUUCCAACUCUUUCUGUGCUCAAAUGCCUCUUUCCUAGGCGUGUCCUAAAACGCAGAGGUAUGUCGCAGUCAUUCUAAAAGUUGUUUGAAACGUUAAGGUGAGGCUGGGCUUCUGCUAAAGGGUGAGACCCCCAGGGCCAGGAUCGCUGCCCUCCAGCGGGAUGCUGCCCACCUGCGCUGGCCCAGAAGAAGCACCAGGAGCUCAAAAGCACGGCCACCCCUCUGGGGGCAUCCCCAGAGAACCCGCAGCCACCCUUCCCGGGGCCGCAUCAGCUGCCCCUCUGCAGGUGACCACAGCGCCUUUGGGACCCCACGUCCUAAAGCUGGAGGUCUGAGCUCCAGGAGGAGAGGCAGUGUGAAGCCAUGAGAGCACUGGAGGUCUAUCAACAAAGUAUUAAUGUAGAAGCCCGAGUGAAAAGCAGAAAAGAAAAGAAAAAAAAAAAAAAAAAGAAAGAAAGAAAAGAAAAAAGCAAUCAAUGAAUGCCAUUCCCCAGCUAAGAGACGAGCCACCAAUUCUUGGCACAGCGAUAGAGAAAACCUUGAAAAGUUUCGCUCGGGUUCUGGAAUAAAGCUUUGGAUAAAAUGGAGCAAGUAGUUUGCGCGGUCGUCGUGCCAGUGAAUAGAUCUGCUGCUCUGGAUUUCAAUUAACUUAGUUUGUUCAGCGGGGAGGCACUUCAGCUGCAACCGGGGAGCUGCAAGUUAAAGGACAGCGAGAAAAACAGCGCAACAACAGCCAGAAAAACCUGUUGGCAGCAGAAGUUUGCACCGGCUGCAAGCAAAAUCAAAUCACAUCAAAUCAGGGGGUUUUAAAGAAAUCUUUUAAAGGCUUUGAAGGUUUCGGAGGAUCUCCGAGGCAGUCCCAGGUGAUCGUCGCUGUGGAGAGACCUCCACCGAUCAGCGUCCAUUUUACAUAAUUACUUCGGGUUCUCCAGAACAUUUUAUGUAACUCACUUCCACGGCUGCCUCUGUCCUUUCUCCUCUCUCUCCGUCACCGGCAGAGCAGCAGCUCAGCCCUCCGCCAGCACUGACAGGAGCUCACAUAAAAGGACCAUUUCGAAUGGAUCACUGGGAGCAGCCCCGAGAACCCACAGGAAACGUGGGCUCCGAAACUCGACAGUGCUCAGCGGGCGACGAAACGCAUCACACAUCCCUCCCCAGCCAAAUAUGUGUAUGCAUAUAUAUAAACAUAUACAUAUAAUAAGGAUUAAUUCGGAGGAAAGCUCCGAGGUUUGAAACGACAAAUAAGCAGGGAUAUUUGCGCGAGGAAAAAAAAAAAAUGGUAAAUAAAUAGUUACUGGUGCUGGACAAAAUGGCUCGAUAGGUUUCAUAAUUUGCCACCGCUGUAAAAAAUAUCCCCUCCCUUCCCCCUGCCGUCCCCGCCGGCACGGACGGAAGCGCGGAGCGGAGGGUGGGGGGCAGCCGAGGAUACCAACUCCCUCCGCCAAAGUUUGGGUCCUUCCGAACCCGGCGAUGCCUCCAUAACGUGACAUCAGCUCCGAGAGACAAAAGUUGAGAUCUGCGUCUCCUUUCUGCCCGGGAAAGGAAACUGGAAAAAUACUAAUAAUGAAAAAUAGACGUUAAAAAUACCCGAGAGGAAAAAGUCGACGGACGAUCACCCGAAUUAACCCCCUCCGCCCCCGCAGGCAAACAGACAAACGACAAAACCUCCGGCUAAAGCCCCGUCGGGAGGAGUGGAACCUGCUUUCUCCGCUUUCUCUUUUCUGCUUUUAUUUAACGUAUGGCGAGCCUGGACUUCAAACUUAUAGCCGACACACGGCCACACAACAAAGAGUCCCCGUUCACCCCCGUCGCCGGCGCUGCGGGCAGAAGUCGUCGGCAAAUACGCGCCGUGUUCCGCGAGCAGACAUAAAUCUCUCACGACGCUCUCCCAAACAGGCCAAGGGUAGUUCACAUAGAGGGCUGGCUUCGCACACGCUCACCCCGCUCCUCGUAUUCUUUGGAUGGAGGAAGGCUGGCAGCAAGGUGCACAGACAAAAGACCGGGGAGCCAACGCACGCAAUCACUCGCUGCUACAUCUUCACGUAUUUUUACAAUACGCUCUCCUAUCCACACCGCUUCCAAAAUAAUUUUCAGCCAGCCCUGCCUCUCGUCGCACGUAAACUUACGCCGUCACAGGAAUUCUGUUGACUCUCAUGAUGACAUAUGAAAGUGGCAAAACGAGGUUUUGCGCCCGGAUUUCGCCUUCAGACAAAGCUCCCCCAGCAACUUCAUCAGCAGGGAAUUAUAGUUUCACCCGGAGAAACUGGGUCCAAGGGAAAAAGAAAAUAAAAGUUAAGUGGUAUUGCCAUGGCUAUGCUAUGAAUCAUAGAUUCACAGAAUCACAGAGUCAUUGAAUCACAGAAGGGUUGGGUUAGAAGGGACCUGGAAGCCCAUCCGGCUCCAAGCCUGUGCUGUGGGCAGGGCUGCCCCAAAGCAGCUCAGGCUGCUCAGGGCCCCAUCCAACCUGGCCUUGAGCACCUGUAGGGAUGUGGAAAAUCAGUGGACAAACAAACGAGG